AUACGGAGGAUCCGAGCGUUAUCCGGAUUUAUUGGGUUUAAAGGGUGCGCAAGCGGGAGAUUAAGUCGGCGGUGAAAUUUUGCAGCUCAACUGUAAAAGUGCCUUCGAAACUGGUUUCCUUGAGUGUAGAUGAAGUAGGCGGAAUUUGUGGUGUAGCGGUGAAAUGCAUAGAUAUCACGAGGAACUCCGAUUGCGCAGGCAGCUUACUAAACUACUACUGACGCUCAGGCACGAAGGCGUGGGGAUCAAACAGGAUUAGAUACCCUGGUAGUCCACGCAGUAAACGAUGAUUACUAGCAGUUUGCGAUACAAUGUAAGCGGCUGAGCGAAAGCGUUAAGUAAUCCACCUGGGGAGUACGUUCGCAAGAAUGAAACUUAAAGGAAUUGACGGGG
rnacentral:rRNA from 1 species